rnacentral:rRNA from 1 species
GGCGAGUGAAGCGGGAAGAGCUCAAAUUUGAAAUCUGGUAGCCUUCGGUUGCCCGAGUUGUAAUCUAGAGAAGUGUUUUCCGUGCCGGCCCAUGUACAAGUCCCUUGGAACAGGGCGUCAUAGAGGGUGAGAAUCCCGUCCUUGACAUGGACCCCCGGUGCUUUGUGAUACACUUUCAACGAGUCGAGUUGUUUGGGAAUGCAGCUCAAAAUGGGUGGUGAAUUCCAUCUAAAGCUAAAUAUUGGCGAGAGACCGAUAGCGAACAAGUACCGUGAGGGAAAGAUGAAAAGCACUUUGGAAAGAGAGUUAAACAGUACGUGAAAUUGUUGAAAGGGAAACGAUUGAAGUCAGUCAUGCUCUUGGGACUUACCUCCCUUGAGUGGGGUCAACAUCAGUUUUGAUCGAUGGAUAAAGGCACGGGGAAGGUAGCACUCUCGGGUGAACUUAUAGCCUCGCGUCAUAUACAUUGAUUGGGACUGAGGAACGCAGCAUGCCUUAUGGCCGGGAUUCGUCCACGUACAUG